GAUGAACGCUAGCGACAGGCCUAACACAUGCAAGUCGAGGGGCAGCACAUGCGUAGCAAUCCAAUGGUGGCGACCGGCGCACGGGUGAGUAACACGUAUGCAACCUACCUGUAAGAGGGGAAUAACCCGGAGAAAUUCGGACUAACACCGCAUAAUACAUCGAAGCUGCAUGGCUUUGAGGUUAAAUAUUUAUAGCUUACAGAUGGGCAUGCGUAACAUUAGAUAGUUGGUGAGGUAACGGCUCACCAAGUCAACGAUGUUUAGGGGUUCUGAGAGGAAGGUCCCCCACACUGGUACGGAGACACGGACCAGACUCCUACGGGAGGCAGCAGUGAGGAAUAUUGGUCAAUGGGCGAGAGCCUGAACCAGCCAAGUCGCGUGAAGGAAGAAGGUUCUAUGGAUUGUAAACUUCUUUUGUAAGGGAAUAAAAAAGCUUACGUGUAGGCUAUUGUAUGUGCUUUACGAAUAAGGAUCGGCUAACUCCGUGCCAGCCGCCGCAGUAAAAC
rnacentral:rRNA from 1 species